UGGGGAAUAUUGCACAAUGGGCGCAAGCCUGAUGCAGCCAUGCCGCGUGUGUGAAGAAGGCCUUCGGGUUGUAAAGCACUUUCAGCGAGGAGGAAGGGUUCAGUGUUAAUAGCACUGUUCAUUGACGUUACCCGCAGAAGAAGCACCGGCUAACUCCGUGCCAGCAGCCGCGGUAAUACGGAGGGUGCAAGCGUUAAUCGGAAUUACUGGGCGUAAAGCGCACGCAGGCGGUUUGUUAAGUCAGAUGUGAAAUCCCCGCGCUUAACGUGGGAACUGCAUUUGAAACUGGCAAGCUAGAGUCUUGUAGAGGGGGGUA
rnacentral:rRNA from 1 species